rnacentral:tmRNA from 1 species
GGCAGUACCCACCACCUCCACCAUUGCAACUUAUGGGGGUGAACUAGAUUCGACGGAUGACUAAAGGCUAUUCUUUCGUUCGGGAUUGUUCCACCGUAACGGGCUAAUUUAUAAUUGCUAACGAAAGUUAUGCACUUGCUGCCUAAUUAACUUAGUUAAUUAAGCAAACGGGGUCUGGGGCACCUGGCAACAGAACGCCCCCUACU